UACGUAGGCAGCGAGCGUUGUUCGGAGUUACUGGGCGUAAAGAGUGCGUAGGCGGUUUUCUAAGUUUGGUGUGAAAUCUCCCGGCUUAACUGGGAGGGUGCGCCGAAAACUGGAAGGCUUGAGUGUGGGAGAGGUAAGCGGAAUUCCUGGUGUAGCGGUGAAAUGCGUAGAUAUCAGGAGGAACACCUGUGGUGUAGACAGCUUACUGGACCAUGACUGACGUUGAGGCACGAAAGCGUGGGGAGCAAACAGG
rnacentral:rRNA from 1 species